rnacentral:rRNA from 1 species
AGUGAACGCUGGCGGUAGGCCUAACACAUGCAAGUCGAACGGCAGCACAGUAAGAGCUUGCUCUUACGGGUGGCGAGUGGCGGACGGGUGAGGAAUACAUCGGAAUCUACUUUUUCGUGGGGGAUAACGUAGGGAAACUUACGCUAAUACCGCAUACGACCUACGGGUGAAAGCAGGGGAUCUUCGGACCUUGCGCGAUUGAAUGAGCCGAUGUCGGAUUAGCUGGUUGGCGGGGUAAAGGCCCACCAAGGCGACGAUCCGUAGCUGGUCUGAGAGGAUGAUCAGCCACACUGGAACUGAGACACGGUCCAGACUCCUACGGGAGGCAGCAGUGGGGAAUAUUGGACAAUGGGCGCAAGCCUGAUCCAGCCAUACCGCGUGGGUGAAGAAGGCCUUCGGGUUGUAAAGCCCUUUUGUUGGGAAAGAAAAGCAGCAGGUUAAUACCCCGCUGUUCUGACGGUACCCAAAGAAUAAGCACCGGCUAACUUCGUGC